AACGAACGCUGGCGGCAUGCCUAACACAUGCAAGUCGAACGAGACCUUCGGGUCUAGUGGCGCACGGGUGCGUAACGCGUGGGAACCUGCCCUUAGGUUCGGAAUAACUCCCCGAAAGGGGUGCUAAUACCGGAUAAUGUCUUCGGACCAAAGAUUUAUCGCCUUUGGAUGGGCCCGCGUUGGAUUAGCUAGUUGGUAGGGUAAAAGCCUACCAAGGCGACGUUCCAUAGCUGGUCUGAGAGGAUGAUCAGCCACACUGGGACUGAGACACGGCCCAGACUCCUACGGGAGGCAGCAGUGGGGAAUAUUGGACAAUGGGCGAAGGGCUGAUCCAGCAAUGCCGCGUGAGUGAUGAAGGCCUUGGGGUUGUAAAGCUCUUUUACCCGGGAUGAUAAUGACGGUACCGGGAGAAUAAGCUCCGGCUAACUCCGUG
rnacentral:rRNA from 1 species